CCAUAUCAAUAAGCGGAGGAAAAGAAACCAACAGGGAUUGCCCUAGUAACGGCGAGUGAAGCGGCAACAGCUCAAAUUUGAAAUCUGGCUUCGGCCCGAGUUGUAAUUUGCAGAGGAAGCUUUAGGCGCGGCACCUCCUGAGUCCCCUGGAACGGGGCGCCACAGAGGGUGAGAGCCCCGUAUAGUUGGAUGCCUAGCCUGUGUAAAGCUCCUUCGACGAGUCGAGUAGUUUGGGAAUGCUGCUCAAAAUGGGAGGUAAAUUUCUUCUAAAGCUAAAUACCGGCCAGAGACCGAUAGCGCACAAGUAGAGUGAUCGAAAGAUGAAAAGCACUUUGAAAAGAGGGUUAAAUAGCACGUGAAAUUGUUGAAAGGGAAGCGCUUGUGACCAGACUUGCGCCGGGCUGAUCAUCCGGUGUUCUCACCGGUGCACUCUGCCCGGCUCAGGCCAGCAUCGGUUCUCGCGGGGGGAUAAAGGCCCUGGGAACGUAGCUCCUCCGGGAGUGUUAUAGCCCGGGGCGCAAUGCCCUCGCGGGGACCGAGGUUCGCGCUCUGCAAGGAUGCUGGCGUAAUGGUCAUCAGCGACCCGUCUUGAAACACGGACCAAGGAGUCAAGGUUUUGCGCGAGUGUUUGGGUGUAAAACCCGCACGCGUAAUGAAAGUGAACGUAGGUGAGAGCUUCGGCGCAUCAUCGACCGAUCCUGAUGUUCUCGGAUGGAUUUGAGUAGGAGCGUUAAGCCUUGGACCCGAAAGAUGGUGAACUAUGCUUGGAUAGGGUGAAGCCAGAGGAAACUCUGGUGGAGGCUCGCAGCGGUUCUGACGUGCAAAUCGAUCGUCAAAUCUGAGCAUGGGGGCGAAAGACUAAUCGAACCAUCUUGUAGCUGGUUACCGCCGAAGUUU
rnacentral:rRNA from 1 species